rnacentral:miRNA from 1 species
CUUCUGAUCAGCGAGGUACAUCUACCUCGUUGAUUGGAAGGAACCCCUUCCGAUCAAAGAGGUAGAUGUACCUCCCUGAUCGGAAG